CCCAUCCCUGCCCUAAAUGGCUUACAACCUAGGUACUUGAAGGGUUACCUUCUUCCCUAAGUUCUUCCCUGCAUGCUGUGCUCAUCCUCUGAGGCCCUACUCUGGAUUCCUCAGCUGCUGGAAGCUCAAGGGGCAGCAACAAUGCGUAGGACCCUUUCUGUGGCAUCCACCUUGCAGAAAGACCUCCUGGAGCCAAGACAAAGGAACCCAUCAUUUGUGUGAUACACUUGUUAUAAAGUGGAGAUGGGGCUGAUAAGAGUUGUAGUCUACAACAUCUGAAGACCUCCAGCUAGACUCACUGCGAAGAUCAAAUCUAAAACACAUAACAAAAGCCCCUGAGGAUGAGUGAGUUUACACUGAGUCGAAAGCAGAUCUCCUUGUACUGUUGCAGAGCCACAACAUGUAUGCUUGAACUGUUCUGUACAGUAGAUACUGACUGCUGAGCAGUUUGCUUUCCUUUUUGCUGCACUCUACAAGAAACAAGGGGAAAUUACAAAGAGGAACAAAUUACCAACACCAGCUUCUCAUGAUGUCAGAGAACAUACAGCAGCACGGGUAAUUCAUAGGAGGAAGCUGUGACACCCACACAUUUCCACUACGUAGAGAUCAUGUGCUGCAGCUUGUGGCUGACUUGAGAUCUCUGGACGUGCAAAAUGAAACAAACUUGCAAAGUGAAACAAAGCUUGCCAGCUAUAACUCCUUUCCUUUGUGGCUAAGUGGGCGCUUAAGGGACUCCGUGGUUUGAAGCAGGAGCAUCCUAGUUGGAGCCUAGAAAAGAGAGUUACCUCUGCUGUGUGUGUGGAGUCAAGCCUUAGAGCCCUCUUCAGGCAAACAAGAGAAUAAGGGGAUGUACAACCCAGCCUUUACAAUUGUCAGGAUUAUGUAUGAAGCCCUACAUUGACUAGAUCUAGUUUACAUAUCAGGAGCCUGGUAAUCUGCCUAGGCUUAAUCAAUGGAGAAAAUUAAUACCUUCUGCUUGUUGCAUUUCAGGGGCCAAGAGCUCCCACUGACAUUGGGGACUGGGUUGGAAAACACAUUCUCCAGGUUGAGAUUGAGGUAUAAGCUACCCUUGCACCUGGCCGGAACUUAUUGAUUUCUAUUGUCUCUUUACUGACUGAUGUUUAAACCAGGUUCUAUUAACAUGCUUGUGGCAAGAAUUGUCUCCAUAGAAAUGUAUUAAUGCACCCACUUUUACAGUUCAUCCCCCACACCUUAAGCAUCCUAUUGUACUUUUUUCAUACUUCAGAGAAAUCAUUAAUACAAUUAUAUAAACAGAAAUCUUUCCAAUUUUAGAUUGUAUUUAUAUCAAUAUAUCCAGUUUUUUCAUGAAAAAAUUUCAGAUGUCUUGGGAUUUAAAAUGACAAGACUAAUAUUGAACUUGGAACUUCCCAGAACACAGCACGUAGGAUAUGAUGGGGACUCAUACUGCUGUGCUGGGGGAUUACUUUAUAUAAAAAAAGAUGUAACAGAUACAUAAAUUGCCUUAUGAAUGUCAUAUUCUUUUCUUAAUAGAGAUCUAU